UACGACUACAUAUCAGGCAUAUCAAUAAGCGGAGGAAAAGCGGAUCAUCCAGCAGACGCUGCUGCAGUGCGGUGGCAACCGCACGCUGGCUAUGGAGCGUUUGGGCCCGUCGAAAACCGUAUUUUACGGCAAAUUAAAGGAGUAUCAGAUCAGUUGAUGUUCCGAAAUGCGGAUAUGAGUCCCGAAAAUAGGAAAGCGAGUUCUGGAAUCGGGUCUCACUUUGCUUUUUUACGUAGCAAGGUAAGAAAAGAUUCUCACGGUAGUGAGAAUUGCGGGAUUAGAGGAAAAAUUCCUCGGUUAAAGUGUCGAAACCGGACGCAUUUUUUGUGAGCUAUUCCAAAUUUAAUGGGGAAUAGCUAUUUUGGCACAAAAAUUGCUAUAUAAUAGGUUGAGCAAAAAAGACGAAACGAGUUCCGAAAAAGGAGUGUAUCGAAGUAUGAAGUUCUGGAAAAUGAACGGAGCUGGCAACGACUUUGUUAUUAUCAACAAUAUGGACGGUGCCAUCAGCGCCGAUCAGUACGGCAUCAUUGCAAAAACGCUGUGUGAGCGGCAUAUGUCUAUUGGUGCGGACGGUAUGAUGUUUGUGGAGAGGCCUCACGGUGAAGCCGAUUACCGGAUGGCAUUCUAUAACUCCGACGGCAGCAUGGGUGAGAUGUGCGGCAAUGGCGCCCGCUGCAUCUGCCGCUACGGCUACGAGAUGGGUCUGGCCGGCGAAGUGCAGACGGUGGAGACGACCGCCGGUGUGGUGGUGGGUCACCGUAUCGACCAGCGUCUGUAUCGCGUCCGCCUGAACGAUCCCACUGUGCUGAGGGUGAACUAUCCCGUGGAGCUGGACGGCACCAUGCGCGAGUGCGCUUAUGUGGAGCUGGGCAAUCCCGGCAUUCCCCACGCGGUAGUGCCCAUUCAGGGUCUGGCUGACUUCCCCGAGCGGCUGCUCUUCGACCUGGGCCGCAAGCUGCGCUAUCACGAGGCAUUCCCCAAGGGUGCCAACGUCAACUUCUAUGAGAUCACCGGUGAGGACGAGGUGUUUGAGCGUACCUACGAGCGCGGCGUGGAGGACUUUACCUACGCUUAGGAUGUUGAGCGCAUGUCUCUCUC
rnacentral:rRNA from 1 species